rnacentral:lncRNA from 1 species
CAUCCGAGGCUACCGAAGCAACCCCGCUCUGACGCCCCGCCACCGCGACUUCCUCAUCGACGCCGCUAACUCCCGCCGCCUCACCUACUUCGUCUUCCUCCUCCAAGCCGACGCUGCUGCCCUCGCUCUGGAAAACGAGGAGGGGAGGUGGUGACUGGAAUUGGGGCUUUAGGGCUUGGAUUGGCGGCGGGAAAACGAGGAGGGGAGGUGGUGGCUGGAAUUGGGGCUUUAGGGCUUGGAUCUGCUUCGGCCCUUCUUUCGGUGACCUCUGCUUCGACCCUUCUUCCGGUGAACUGAGGGAGGCGCUGGAGUGAGGGAGGCGGCGACGAGGAGGCAGCGCUGGAGUGAGGGAGGCGGCGACCUCUGCUUCGACCCUUCAAAAUGAUUUUUCCUUUUUUUUUUUAAUUGAUACUCACUCAAAACGACGUCGUUUUGAGUGCCGGUGAGUCCACGUUUGAAAAUUCCGGUGCCACGUCAACACCGAUCAAGGUGAUGGUCAACGCGUGUGCAAUUUGCAACAAAAUUAAAAGGUGAUGUAUUCUGGAGCU